GACAGAGGGUGCAAGCGUUAUCCGGAUUCACUGGGUUUAAAGGGUGCGUAGGUGGGUUGAUAAGUCAGUGGUGAAAUCCCCGAGCUUAACCUGGGAACUGCCAUUGAUACUAUUGAUCUUGAAUACCGUGGAGGUCAGCGGAAUAUGUCAUGUAGCGGUGAAAUGCUUAGAUAUGACAUAGAACACCAAUUGCGAAGGCAGCUGCUACGCGAAUAUUGACACUGAUGCACGAAAGCGUGGGGAUCAAACAGGAUUAGAAACCCUGA
rnacentral:rRNA from 1 species